CGAAUGCUGACAUAAGUAACGAUAAAGCGGGUGAAAAGCCCGCUCGCCGGAAGACCAAGGGUUCCUGUCCAACGUUAAUCGGGGCAGGGUGAGUCGACCCCUAAGGCGAGGCCGAAAGGCGUAGUCGAUGGGAAACAGGUUAAUAUUCCUGUACUUGGUGUUACUGCGAAGGGGGGACGGAGAAGGCUAUGUUGGCCGGGCGACGGUUGUCCCGGUUUAAGCGUGUAGGCUGGUUUUCCAGGCAAAUCCGGAAAAUCAAGGCUGAGGCGUGAUGACGAGGCACUACGGUGCUGAAGCAACAAAUGCCCUGCUUCCAGGAAAAGCCUCUAAGCAUCAGGUAACAUCAAAUCGUACCCCAAACCGACACAGGUGGUCAGGUAGAGAAUACCAAGGCGCUUGAGAGAACUCGGGUGAAGGAACUAGGCAAAAUGGUGCCGUAACU
rnacentral:rRNA from 1 species